AUGAUGGACUAUAGGACAGGACUGCUGCUGUUAACUCUCUGCUGGGCAGGUGUUGAUGGUCAGACUCUGACAGAAUCUGAACCAGUGGUUAAAAGGCCUGGAGAAUCCCACAGACUGACCUGUACAGGCUCUGGAUUCACAUUCAGUAGCUACUGGAUGGCCUGGGUCAGACAGGCUCCUGGAAAAGGACUGGAGUGGAUUGCCUUGCAUGACACUGGUAGUGGCAAAUACUACUCUCAGUCAGUCCAAGGCCGGUUUACCAUCUCCAGAGACAACAGCAGACAGCAGCUGUAUCUGCAGAUGAACAGUCUGAAGACUGAAGAUUCUGCUGUUUAUUAUUGUGCUCGAGACUCACAGUGAGUUGAGUUGGUUCAGCAGCUGUACAAAAACCUACAGUCCUCAUCAUUACUUAGCUGGUACAGUGAAAUGUUAGAUUUUCAUUUUGACGUUUGUGGUUGUUGUUUUCUAACAAAAUCAUGAAAACAUAGAAACAUCAGGGUCAGUUUUACAAAAAUAACCAUAAUGACAUAUUCAUGAAAAAAGACGAGCAACCACAACAAUCUGUUGAAGACUGGAACUGUAUGUAAAUAUUCUAGGUAAAUUGAUAUAUAUAUAUGAAUUGUCUCACAUGAUUA